AGAGUUUGAUUAUGGCUCAGGAUGAACGCUAGCGACAGGCCUAACACAUGCAAGCGAGGGGCAGCACAAGGAGCAAUCUGAGGUGGCGACCGGCGCACGGGUGAGUAACGCGUAUGCAACCUACCUAUCAGAGGGGAAUAACCCGGCGAAAGUCGGACUAAUACCGCAUAAAACAGGGGCACCGCAUGGUGAUAUUUGUUAAAGAAAUUCGCUGAUAGAUGGGCAUGCGUUCCAUUAGGUAGUUGGUGAGGUAACGGCUCACCAAGCCGACGAUGGAUAGGGGAACUGAGAGGUUGGUCCCCCACACUGGUACUGAGACACGGACCAGACUCCUACGGGAGGCAGCAGUGAGGAAUAUUGGUCAAUGGGCGGGAGCCUGAACCAGCCAAGUCGCGUGAAGGGAAAAGAAGGAUCUAUGGUUCGUAAACUUCUUUUGCAGGGGAAUAAAGUGCAGGACGUGUCCUGUUUUGUAUGUACCCUGAGAAUAAGGAUCGGCUAACUCCGUGCCAGCAGCAGC
rnacentral:rRNA from 1 species